AUCUUUUUGUAGUUUAUAAACCUGAUAAUUGGGUGCUCACACUCUGGUGUGAGAGGUGUCCCCCUCACAUCCUGUUAUGACAUCAGCACUGCUGAUGUGAAA